rnacentral:rRNA from 1 species
GGCUCACACAACGAUGAAGGACGCAGCGAAUUGCGAUACGCAUUAUGACUUGCAGACUUCUGUGAUUUAACAGACCUCCGAACGUAACCAACACACCGCCUCUGCUCGCACGCGGUACUCCCGUUUCAGUGAGCCCCCUUUUCUGGGGCCUUGCCUUUUUGGCAGCCUUGCGAGUGGGUGGUUGUGCCGCCCGAUUGCGUGGAGGAGUUGGCUGGCCAAGGUCGUGGCUGUGGUUCUACUCUGUGGAGCUGCGGCCAUUUGCCUCGAAGCAUUUUGUGUAUGUGAUACCGAAUCUUCUGCGAGGCUGUUGGGCUCUGCCCAAGACUGCGGUGAGCCGUCUGACUCCGUGUCAUCUAUUCCGCUCCUGAAAUCGGGUGAGGCUAUCCGCUGAAUUUAAGCAUAUAAUUAAGCGGCAGAAAAGAAAAUAACCAUGAUUCCCUUAGUAACGGCGAG